GCACCACAAGAGCGUGGAGUAUGUGGCUUAAUUUGACUCAACGCGGAAAAGCUUAUCUGGUCCGGACGCAGUGAGGAUUGACAGACAGUUUCAGGAGUGGUUCUUGGUAAACAAUUGAGAGAGUUGAAGUUCUUUCAUGAUCUUGUGAGAGGUGGUGCAUGGCCGUUCUUAGUUCGUGUAGUGAUAUGUCUGCCUAAUCGCGUCACGAUAACCUAUUGGUCGACAACCCAAUUAUCACAACUGCAGCAUAACUCCCCUUGGGUGGGCGAGGCUCUGUGUAGGAUAGACCUCUGAACAGUACGCAACGAACGCGAUCGUAAUCCCUUGUUGAGUGGCCAUCCUGUAAGCUGCUGGAUUAGGAACCCAGUGGUAUUAUCUCAGCCACAGAUUUUCUGGUUGUAAUGGGC
rnacentral:rRNA from 1 species